UAUAAGGUUUGCUGACUCUUCUUUUGUAUGGAGAAUACUUCUAAUGCAUAGAUUAGGGAUACAUCCUUAUCAAACAUUAAUACUAGGGCCAAUAAGAUUUAGGCAGCUCUACAUCUGUCGUUCUCUCAGACUGUUGACAACUGCCUGCCACCCACACUCCAGAUCUCUCUUGCUGUGCUAAGUGCUGGUAACAGAGAAACAGACCCAUGAUGUUUUUGGCAUUUAUUUAACAAGAAAAGUGUUAAGAUUUUGCUUUUUUUCUUGAUUUUCUUGAAUAGUUUCCUCAUUGUUUAAUUGUUUGAUGUUGUAUGAGGUCUCUCAGGUCAGCUUUUUCUGUUUUUCACUCAUCUUUUCAACACUUAUUUACACGUUCCUGAUCCCCCCACUUUCAGGCAUUUCAUUUCCACUUCGCAGUUUUCCUUUGCUCUUCUGCAUAGUUGUUAAAUUAGUUGAUUAGCAAGUUUAUUUAUUAAAAAUGUUCUUACUGCUUCACAUAGUUGUUCACAUUACAGUUUGCAGGAGUUUGUGUGGCUUCUGUUGCAAGUUCUAAGUUAUAACAUGGCAAUGUUGCCACGUGAAUUGCUGUUCCUUUUUAUUUGGUGCUGUGUUCCAGUUUUAAUGUAAUGGACAGUAAAGUGUGUCGAAAGCAGUGGCGGCUUCAGGAUCCUUUUUAUGCCAGGGCACAACAGGGGCACAGUAGUUAGAGAGUCCCCUAGGGCACAUUGAAAACAAUACUCAAAAACACCUUACUAAUAAAGUAUAGAAUAGUUGAAACUUGCUAACAACUGAUCCAUUUCCCUAUUAAGAAGUGAAUGGUAAUCCUACAAAUCCUGGCAGUGUUCACAACACAAAAAUACUGAUUUGCAGUACCCAAGGAUUAUGAUUUGGAUAAAGUUCAGGUGUGCUACAGUGUAACAAGUCAAAGGUAUAGUUACAAAUACAACAGGGCUGGGAAAAUGUCAUGCACAAAAACAUCCUUGUCGCAAAAA